rnacentral:rRNA from 1 species
CCUACGGUAGGCAGCAGUGGGGAAUAUUGGACAAUGGGGGAAACCCUGAUCCAGCGACGCCGCGUGCGUGAAGAAGUAUUUCGGUAUGUAAAGCUCUAUCAGCAGGGAAGAAAGAAAUGACGGUACCUGACUCAGAAGCCCAGGCUAACUAUGUGCCAGCAGCCGCGGUAAUACGUAGGGGGCAAGCGUUAUCCGGAUUUACUGGGUGUAAAGGGAGCGUAGACGGCGAUGCAAGUCUGAAGUGAAAGGCGGGGGCCCAACCCCUGGACUGCUUUGGAAACUGUAUGGCUGGAGUGCAGGAGAGGUAAGUGGAAUUCCUAGUGUAGCGGUGAAAUGCGUAGAUAUUAGGAGGAACACCAGUGGCGAAGGCGGCUUACUGGACUGUAACUGACGUUGAGGCUCGAAAGCGUGGGGAGCAAACAGGAUUAGAUACCCUUGUAGUC